AUGGCCCAAUUUAUCCCUCAACGCAAGCAUCUCACCCUCAAAAUGUUUGUAUGGGACCCAACCGGCAAACCUGGAGAUGGAUUAUUUCUUUCACCUUGGAUUGGCUCAUCUGCUCAACUUUUAAAAGCAUUUCCACUGCACAGUGAAAGAAAACCACAAAUUCCUUGUUUAAUAUCUGGAAUCAUGUGCUUUUAACAAGAGGAAAAGGUCAAGUCUGAAGCAACUGAUACAGAACUGCCAGAUUAGACUUACACAUUCUCGUUUUCUUGUGAUUGCGUUUGGAUAGAAUGAAGACCUCGUCCACAGUUCUCAACUUAAAUUCUUUCUUCUACUUCUUAGCUAUGAAAGAAAAUUCAAAAAAUUCAAUGCUCUACUUUGUAACUCCCUGGACAUAGUGAGUCCAUUAUGUACAUCAUGAGGAGGGAGUGGAGAAAGUGGAAUUCUUAUGUAAAUUCGUACAACUUUGGAAAACGGCUUACCAGUACCUACUAAAGCUGAGCAUAUGCAAAACCAGUGACCCAGGCAUGUCAUGGGUACAUAACCUACAAAAAUGUAGACAUAGGCACUAAAAGACAUCUACAACAUGUUCACUGCAGCCCAGUUCAUAAUCAACCCAGAGUGGAAAAACCCAAGCAUCCACCAACUGGAGACUGCACAAUAAAACUGUAGUAUUUUCAUCA
rnacentral:lncRNA from 1 species